GGGUGGGACAUCCUAUUGGCGCAAUUACUGGUUGGUGGGUGGCUGCCCUGCCCCAGCCUCUGCCCAUCACCCGCAUUGGCAAUAUAAUGGGAAGGCCUAAGCUUUGGUUUGGACUUUUUGCGCUGGGCCAACUGAAGUAGCACUGUUAAAGAUCUGAUGAAGCGUCGAGAUUUGAAAUUUAUUAAUUUAAGAAUUUCAGAUAAAAAAGUUAAUCUGGUCUUUAUAUCUGGCAUUAAGAUUUAGUAUUUAGAUUGUGGUCAAACUGAUAUUA
rnacentral:misc_RNA from 1 species